UUCAUUCAGAGUAAAUACGACGACGAAGCCAUCACUGCAGCGCUCGUUUUAUUUCUUUAAUCUUUUUAUACUUCUUUUCGGGUGCAUCGGCUGUUUAUACAGACAGAGUGUCAGUGUUUGUGAUGGAGGGAGAUUCAGUCACUCUACACACUGAUGUUAAAACAAACCAACAAGAAAAGAUUAAAUGGUAUUUUAA